CCAAUAGCGUAUAUUAAAGUUGUUGCAGUUAAAAAGCUCGUAGUUGAACUUCGGGGUUUACCCAUUGGUCAGGCUUAAUUGUCUGUACUGGUGAGAUAAAUCUCUACCUUCUGAGGAACUUUCAUGCCAUUUAUUUGGUGUGAUGGGAAAUCAGGACUGUUACUUUGAAAAAAUUAGAGUGUGUAAAGCAGGCUAACGUCUGAAUACAUUAGCAUGGAUUAAUGAAAUAGGACGAACUGAUUCUAUUUCGUUGGUUUCUAGGAUCACCGUAAUGAUUAAUAGGGAUAGUUGGGGGCAUUAGUAUUCAAUUGUCAGAGUUGAAAUUCUUGGAUUUAUUGAAGACUAACUACUGCGAAAGCAUUUGCCAAGGAUGUUUUCAUUAAUCAAGAACGAAAGUUAGGGGAUCGAAGACGAUCAGAUACCGUCGUAGUCUUAACCAUAAACUAUGCCGACUAGGGAUCGGACGAAGUUAAUUUUAUAAUGACGCGUUCGGCACCUUACG
rnacentral:rRNA from 1 species